GCGACAGGCCUAACACAUGCAAGUCGAGGGGCAGCAUUACCGCUUGCGGUAGAUGGCGACCGGCGCACGGGUGAGUAACGCGUAUGCAACCUGCCUUACACAGGGGGAUAGCCCGGAGAAAUCCGGAUUAAUACCGCAUAACAAUCACAUUUCGCAUGGGAAGUGAUUUAAACCUACGGGGGUGUAAGAUGGGCAUGCGUAGCAUUAGUUAGUUGGUGAGGUAGAGGCUCACCAAGACGAUGAUGCUUAGGGGGUCUGAGAGGAUAGUCCCCCACACUGGUACUGAGACACGGACCAGACUCCUACGGGAGGCAGCAGUGAGGAAUAUUGGUCAAUGGACGCAAGUCUGAACCAGCCAUGUCGCGUGCAGGAUGACGGCCCUACGGGUUGUAAACUGCUUUUUUACGGGAAUAAUGUCAUCUACGUGUAGAUGUUUGAAGGUACCGUAUGAAUAAGGAUCGGCUAACUCCGUGCCAGCAGCCGCGGUAAU
rnacentral:rRNA from 1 species